GAUGAACGCUAGCGGCAGGCUUAACACAUGCAAGUCGAGGGGUAGAGGCUUUCGGGCCUUGAGACCGGCGCACGGGUGCGUAACGCGUAUGCAAUCUGCCUUUCACAGAGGGAUAGCCCAGAGAAAUUUGGAUUAAUACCUCAUAGCAUAACACAACCGCAUGGUUGAGUUAUUAAAGUCACAACGGUGAAAGAUGAGCAUGCGUCCCAUUAGUUAGUUGGUAGGGUAACGGCUUACCAAGACUUCGAUGGGUAGUGGUCCUGAGAGGGAGGUCCCCCACACAGGUACUGAGACACGGACCAGACUCCUACGGGAGGCAGCAGUGAGGAAUAUUGGUCAAUGGGCGCAAGCCUGAACCAGCCAUGCCGCGUGCAGGAUGACGGUCCUAUGGAUUGUAAACUGCUUUUGUACGAGAAGAAACACUCCUUCGUGAAGGAGCUUGACGGUAUCGUAAGAAUAAGGAUCGGCUAACUCCGUGCCAGCCGCCGCAGUAA
rnacentral:rRNA from 1 species